UCGGGAAUUUUGGGCAAUGGGCGAAAGCCUGACCCAGCAACGCCGCGUGAAGGAUGAAGUAUUUCGGUAUGUAAACUUCGAAAGAAUAGGAAGAAUAAAUGACGGUACUAUUUAUAAGGUCCGGCUAACUACGUGCCAGCAGCCGCGGUAAUACGUAGGGACCAAGCGUUGUUCGGAUUUACUGGGCGUAAAGGGCGCGUAGGCGGCAAUUCAAGUCAUCUGUGAAAUCUCCGAGCUUAACUCAGAACGGCCAAGUGAUACUGCAGAGCUAGAGUGUAGAAGGGGCAAUCGGAAUUCUUGGUGUAGCGGUGAAAUGCGUAGAUAUCAAGAGGAACACCUGAGGUGAAGACGGGUUGCUGGGCUGACACUGACGCUGAGGCGCGAAAGCCAGGGGAGCAAACGGGAUUAGAUACCCAAGUAGUCCCUGAG
rnacentral:rRNA from 1 species